UGGCACUUUCAGUGUCCGAGUUGUAAUUUGAAGAAGGUAUCUUUGGGUCUGGCUCUUGUCUAUGUUUCUUGGAACAGAACGUCACAGAGGGUGAGAAUCCCGUGCGAUGAGAUGUCCCAGACCUAUGUAAAGUUCCUUCGAAGAGUCGAGUUGUUUGGGAAUGCAGCUCUAAGUGGGUGGUAAAUUCCAUCUAAAGCUAAAUAUUGGCGAGAGACCGAUAGCGAACAAGUACAGUGAUGGAAAGAUGAAAAGAACUUUGAAAAGAGAGUGAAAAAGUACGUGAAAUUUGUUGAAAGGGAAGGGCUUGAGAUCAGACUUGGUAUUUUGUAUGUUACUCUCUCGGGGGUGGCCUCUACAGUUUACCGGGCCAGCAUCAGUUUGGGCGGUAGGACAAUUGCAAAGAAAUGUGGCACUGCCUCGGUAGUGUGUUAUAGUCUUUGUCGAUACUGCCAGCCUAGACUGAGGACUGCGGCUUCGGCCUAGGAUGUUGGCAUAAUGAUCUUAAGUCGCCCGUCUUGAA
rnacentral:rRNA from 1 species